rnacentral:tRNA from 1 species
UGGGGUGUAGCCAAGUUGGUAAGGCAAUGCUUUUUGGUAGCAUGUACCGCUGGUUCGAGUCCAGCCACCCCAGCCA